rnacentral:rRNA from 1 species
UGAAGUAAGUAAGGGCGUACGGUGAAUGCCUUGGUGCCAACAGGCGAAGAAGGACGCGGCAAGCUGCGAAAAGCCUCGGGAAGCUGCAAGCAAGCGAUGAUCCGGGGAUAUCCGAAUGGGGUAACCUGAUCGAGGCAAUACUCGAUCGUUCAUACCUGAAUACAUAGGGUAUGAAACGCGAAACCCGCUGAAGUGAAACAUCUCAGUAAGCGGAGGAAAAGAAAGAGAAAUCGAUUCCGUAAGUAGUGGCGAGCGAAAGCGGAUGGAGCCCAAACCGAAGGUAUUCCUUCGGGGUUGUAGGACCACGUCAUAUUCGACCAUACUGGAUAGUAGAACAGCCUGGAAAGGCUGGCCGGAGAAGGUGAAAGCCCUGUAGACGAAAUCCAGAGUGGGAAUUAGUGGUAUCCUGAGUAAUACAUCACACGUGGAACGAUGUAUGAACCCGCGCGGACCACCGCGCAAGGCUAAAUACUAGUUGGCGACCGAUAGUGAACAAGUACCGCGAGGGAAAGGUGAAAAGAACCGCUGUGAGCGGAGUGAAAUAGAACCUGAAACCGUAUGUCUACAAAGUGUCAGAGCAGAGCAAUCUGCGAUGGCGUGCCUUUUGUUUAAUGAGUCUGCGAGUCAGUGUUUGUGGCAAGACUAAGGGCUUCCGGCCCGGAGUCGCAGCGAAAGCAAGUCCGAACAGGGCGCAAUAAGUCGCAGGUACUGGACCCGAAGCGGAGGUGACCUACCCUUGGCCAGGUUGAAGCAUGGGUAAAACCAUGUGGAGGACCGAACAGGUGAACGUUGAAAAGUUCUCUGAUGAGCUGAGGGUAGGAGUGAAAGGCUAAUCAAACCCCGUGAUAGCUGGUUCUCUUCGAAAUGCAUUUAGGUGCAGCGUCACGUGCUGAUGCGCGGGGGUAGAGCACUGACAAGGCUAGGGGGCACACCCGCUUACCAAACCUUAUCAAACUCCGAAUACCGUGCAAUGGAACGUGGCAGUGAGACAGUGGGGGAUAAGCUUCAUUGUCGAGAGGGAAACAACCCAGACCAGCAGCUAAGGUGCCUAAAUAACGCUCAGUGGAAAGGAUGUGGGAUUACACAGACAGUGAGGAUGUUGGCUUAGAAGCAGCCACCAUUUAAAAAAUGCGUAAUAGCUUACUCAUCGAGUGAUCCUGCGCCGAAAAUGAUUGGCGAUCAAGCGUUAUACCGAAGCUCUGGACUUUGCCGCAAGGCAGAGUGGUAGAAGAGCGUUGCAUGCGCGUCGAAGGGCGAUGGCGACUGACCCUGGAGCACAUGCAAGUGAGUAUGCAGACAUGAGUAACGUUAAGCCGGGUGAAAUCCCCGGCCGCCGUAAACCCGAGGUUUCCAGGGCAACGUGUUUCGUCCCUGGGUUAGCCGGGACCUAAGCCGAGGCCGAGAGGCGUAGGCGAUGGACAUCAGGUUAAUAAUCCUGAGCUCGCAACCCUUAAACUGGGGGGACGCAUGAGAAAAGAUGACUAGGUUAUUGAAUUCCGAGUUGAGUCUACGGACUCAGCGCAUCAUUGGAUCGAGUGCCAAGAAAAGCCCCAGCGUAUGCUAAGCGACCCGUACCGCAAACCGACACAGGUGGGUGGGUAGAACAUACCAAGGCGUAAGAGUGAAACCUGGUUAAGGAACUCGGCAAAUUAGCCCCGUAACUUCGGAAGAAGGGGUGCCUGCAGCGAUGCAGGCCGCAGAGAAAUGGCCCAACCGACUGUUUAUCAAAAACACAGCACUCUGCAAAGACGCAAGUCGAAGUAUAGGGUGUGACACGUGACCAAUGCCGAAAGAUUAAGGCAAGGGGUUAGCCGCAAGGCGAAGCUCUAAACCCAAGUCCCGGUGAAUGUCGGCCGUAACUAUAACGGUCCUAAGGUAGCGAAAUUCCUUGUCGGGUAAGUUCCGACCUGCACGAAUCGUGAAACGAGUUGGGCACUGUCUCAACCAGGCGCUCAGUGAAAUUGUAGUGGCGGUGAAGAUGCCGCCUACCCGCAGAAGGACGGAAAGACCCUAUAGACCUUAACUGUAAGCUGUCAUUGUUUCUUCGGUUUUAAUGCUCAGAGUAAGUGGGAGACGCUGAAGACGCCCUUUAGGGGGCGUCCGAGUCAUCAAUGAGACACCACCCUUUGAAACUGGAGGAUCUAACCCUGAGCCGUGAAUCCGGCCAGAGGACCGUGUCAGCCGGUCAGUUUUACUGGGGCGGUAUCCUCCCAAAGAGUAACGGAGGAGCGCGAAGGUGGGCUCAGCCCGGUUGGCAACCGGGUGUCGAGUGCAUGGGCAUAAGCCCGCCUAACUGUGAGACCAACAAGUCGAGCAGAUGCGAAAGCAGGCCCAAGUGAUCCGGCGGUAGAAAGUGGAAUUGCCGUCGCUCAACGGAUAAAAGGUACCUUAGGGAUAACAGGCUGAUCACGCCCAAGAGUUCAUAUCGACGGCGUGGUUUGGCACCUCGAUGUCGGCUCGUCGCAUCCUGGGGCUGGAGAAGGUCCCAAGGGUCCGGCUGUUCGCCGGUUAAAGCGGCACGCGAGCUGGGUUCAGAACGUCGCGAGACAGUUCGGUCCUCUAUCCUCUGUGGGCGUUGGAAAAUUGAGGGGUUCAGACCUUAGUACGAGAGGACCGGGUCUGACGCACCACUGGUGCAUCGGUUGUACUGUCAAGUGCAUGGCCGAGUAGCUAAGUGCGGACGGGAUAAGCGCUGAAAGCAUCUAAGCGCCAAGCCCUUCCCAAGAUGAGUUUUCCCUACAGGUUCGUGGAAGACCACCACGUUGAUAGGUCGCAGGUGUAAGUGCAGCAAUGUAUUGAGCCGAGCGAUACUAAUUACCAAUUGACUUCAUCAU